AGAUUGCUGAUUAACGUUAAAAUUUCAUUUUCAGAUCAUUUGUAUGUAUAUGCAAACUGCUUAUAUAGCCAUUUAAAUAACACUCCGAAAUUCAACUCAAUUAAAUUUUCAUUAGAAAUUUGCCGUAAGAGUAAUUGAUGUGCAUAUGAUAAUUAACACCUUGGCCUGCCUCCAAAAAGAAAAAAUUCCCUAUAUUUAACAUGUGGUGGCGUUCCUUGCUACUUUUACAAUUUUUCUUAUUAUUUCGGUAGGUGUCGCUGAUCUUGACAGCUGUGCUUUACUAAGAGAUGGGAAAUCGCAUUUUGUAGCUGGCACUUAAAUUACCUAGGUUUGUAUGUAUAUAAAUGUGCCUAAAAGACCAAACACAGGUUUAUACAUUUUUAUAUUUGGCUAAGCAAUGUGUUGAAAUGUUUUUUUAAGAAAGGUUGCAAAGUUACAUUGCAAAUGUGCUCAACUUGGAUUCUUGUACCGAAAGUACUUUCAGCUUAAGCAAGUCUGAACGGGGUAUAAUGGUACCUAUUUUUCCAUCACUGGUUACACUACAGUGGCAUACUUUACAAUUUCCUGAAUGACACAAAUGUCAGUCAAUUAGCAACCACCACGAGGACAUACUAUAAGUGAAGCCAAAGUGCCGUAUUGAUUAAACACUUGCAAUUAGGAUCUACGGUUGCCAAACCGUUGUACCAGGUGUAAACCACCAACGAACAAAAACCCACAUUCAUUAGUAAGAAUCCUUAAUACCCUGACGAAUAUUACGAUGGGCAAUUCGAAUGCCGACAUGUGCUGCCAAAUGAGCCUUCAAAAUUGGCACCAAAACGCACGAGAGGAAAAAAGAUUUAGAACCUGUUGAAGCGAUGAGAGGCGUUGGAAACUGUCACCUACCCGCAAUCUUCAUAUAGACACCUCAAGAGGUGCUGCUUGUACGGCUGUGAAAAUCGACAGAUUCAACGAAAGCGAAAUUUAAUUUAUACAAUGGUACAUUUUAUGCUUUGAAAUUUAACACGUAACUCUUACAACAGCUAUGAGGCACAUCAGUGAGAACAAGCUAACAAUUUUUAAAACGGAAGCAAUUGAACGAGCUAGGUUCCUGACUCCCUCAAUAUUACCUUACGGUUCUGUGGUUCAGAAUAAUCAAUUAGCAGUACCAGACUCCACCAAGAUGCUAUUUGCUAAGAU